rnacentral:rRNA from 1 species
CGCGUGGGAAUCUGCCUUUAGGUUCGGAAUAACUCGGGGAAACUCGUGCUAAUACCGGAUAAUGACUUCGGUCCAAAGAUUUAUCGGCCAGGGAUGGGCUCGCGGCCUAUCAGCUAGUUGGUGGGGUAACGGCCUACCAAGGCGACGACGGGUAGCCGGCCUGAGAGGGCGACCGGCCACACUGGGACUGAGACACGGCCCAGACUCCUACGGGAGGCAGCAGUGGGGAAUAUUGCGCAAUGGGCGAAAGCCUGACGCAGCGACGCCGCGUGGGGGAUGAAGGCCUUCGGGUGGAAAACC